GUGCCAGCAGCCGCGGUAAUACGUAGGGUGCGAGCGUUAAUCGGAAUUACUGGGCGUAAAGCGUGCGCAGGCGGUUUGCUAAGACCGAUGUGAAAUCCCCGGGCUCAACCUGGGAACUGCAUUGGUGACUGGCAGGCUAGAGUAUGGCAGAGGGGGGUAGAAUUCCACGUGUAGCAGUGAAAUGCGUAGAGAUGUGGAGGAAUACCGAUGGCGAAGGCAGCCCCCUGGGCCAAUACUGACGCUCAUGCACGAAAGCUGUGGGGAGCCAAAACAGGGAUUAGAUAACCUGGUAGUUCC
rnacentral:rRNA from 1 species